AGUAUCACUUCAUUUUCUGAACAAGUGACACCAGCAUGUCUUCCAUGUCUUCUAUGCAGAGGCUUCUAUUCUGUAUUCUCAUCCCCAUGUAUCUGGCUCAGAAAGUCACCAUUACCCAGAAUCCCCCACUGGUCGUAGGCACGGCCGGCUCUGAGGUGGUGAUGACCUGUGAACAGAUGACUACAGACCAUGAGUGGAUGUUCUGGUAUCACCACCGCCGGGGGCAGGGGCUGGAGAUGGUCACCUACAUGCUGAGAGGAAAUCCACCCGACUAUGAAGAUGGCUACAAGGUCGGCUACCAGAUGAACAGGACAAAAGGAGACAAACUCAGCUUUCUAAGGAUCACGUCUGCUGAAGCCAAGGAUGAGGGGAGUUAUUUCUGCGCUUCCAGUGAUGCACGGUGACACAAUGAGCCCGACGGCUUUGAUGUAACCUCAGUGCACAAUAAUAGUGAACACCCGUCACCAGCACA